rnacentral:rRNA from 1 species
UACGUAGGGUGCAAGCGUUAAUCGGAAUUACUGGGCGUAAAGCGUGCGCAGGCGGUGAUGUAAGACAGAUGUGAAAUCCCCGGGCUCAACCUGGGAACUGCAUUUGUGACUGCAUCGCUGGAGUACGGCAGAGGGGGACGGAAUUCCGCGUGUAGCAGUGAAAUGCGUAGAUAUGCGGAGGAACACCGAUGGCGAAGGCAAUCCCCUGGGCCUGUACUGACGCUCAUGCACGAAAGCGUGGGGAGCAAACAGG